AAGACAGUAGUUAAACUCUACUAUUAAGGA
rnacentral:tRNA from 1 species